UCUGUAGGAACAAAGAUAAGCAGGUCAGGAGGGCAAGGGGCUGAGCAGCUGCUGGCUGAGGAAACAGCCCGGCAGCAUGCCUGUCAUUGUUUCCAAGUCUGUGAACCCUCCUCAGGAAUCAGGGUGUAGAGAGGAAUCCCAAGAUAAUGGUGUCACUUACAAUCCAAGGCUGAACCCAGGAACGUUCCCGUGCUCAAAUUGAGACGGGGUGUUCAUUCCCUUCUACAUUUCAGAUGCCCCUCAGGAUGGCCCAGCACCAGGUGGCGUGCACACGGUCGUUCGUCCCCAGAAGAGCUGCUCUGGGAGCCCCGGGUUCUGUGUGAUGUCUGGCCUUCUUCGUGCUCGGUUCUAAACUUUUAUUCUCUCCCACCUCCCUGGUCCACCUGCCCCUCUUUCCUUCUUUCUGCCGUACUCAGUACAGCCUGCGCUUGGAAAAUCUUCAGUGCAACUUGCUCCUGUAAAUUUCAACCACACAGCUAACUGAGGGACCAAGGCUUGGAGGAAGGAUAGCUCCACAGCAUGGCACACGCUGGGAUUCCUAUUGCUUCGAAGUGGGGAGUGACUCCAAAGAGAGCAUGAGACUUUUUUCUUUUUUUGAAAAUUUUAAAAAGAUUUUAUUUAUUUAUUUGACAGAGAGAAACCCAGCGAGAGAGGGAACACAAGCCAAGAGGAGUGGGAAAGGGAAUAGCACGCUUCCCACUGAGCAGGGAGCCAGAUGCGGGGCUCGAUCCCAGGACCCAGGAAUCAUGACCCGAGUGGAAGGCUGACACUUAAUGACUGAGCCACCCAGGAACCCCCCUUCUUCUUCUUUUUUUAAAUUUAAAACAAUCUUAACUAUUAUGAAUUUAGUUCCAGAGACAUCAGCCUCUAGCAAACAAGAUAUUCCUUCGUCCUUUGGAUUCUGUGGCCUGCUAACAGGAUCUCUGUCAAAGAUCUGAAGCUCUAACGUAGCAUCAGGUAUCACAUUGUGAGCUUUACUGCUGGUUACUUUUCAGGUCUUUGUAUCUAUGUUCCUGGCUCCAUUGAAUGCCUUGAAUUUGGCCCCUAUGCUAAUGCUCGCUCAACAAAGAUUUAUUGAGUGGAUUUACUGAAUGAGUACUUGUAUUCAUCGAAGAAGAGUGAGUGAGUGAUUCGCGUAGCUACAAAAACCACAUUUCUGGAACGAUGCAUGCUGAGUGCUAAUGACAGAGAUGUAUGUGGAUGGUGGGGCGGCUUGGGGGAAAAGGGCAUGGAAUCCAGGUGUGGGGAGGAUCAAGAACAGGGGAGCCAUUCCAGGGGAGGUGAUGCUUGAGGUGGGUGGUGAAGGUGAGGAGAAGUUAGAUAAUCUAAGACAGGGUGAAGGGGACACUUCGAGAGAGGGGACAGGAGUACGCAAAGACACGGAGACGUGCAACCGUGCAAGUCAUUUCAGAAACUGUACUUAGCUCAGCAAAGGUGGGAAAGGCGGGGGGGGGGGGGGCAAGAGCCAUAUUAUGCAAGGCUGUGUACACUAACUGAAGAAGUUUAGAUUUUCUCCUGAAAUGUAUGUUCAAAGAGCUGGAUCAAUCAGCCCACCAGAAAAACAACAAUGAAAAACGAGAUUGGGAAGUACUCCCAUAAACAUUCAAGGACCAGCUGGCUCUGACUGGCUGUGGAUCUUCUGCUCAGGAAAAGCUGAUGUAGCAGGGUCACAAAAGCCCAGGGCAAGCACUCUGCUGUACACAAACAGGAUCUGCACCAUCAUUUACUGUUUGGGAGCUACACGCACAGAAUUUAGGAGGCCAGAGGCGGAGGGAAUAAGCCUUUACUGGAUAAAGAUUCCUCACAUACAUAAUUAUCUUGUAAAGUUCUCAACCAAAGAUUCUCAUGUAUCACUUCACCUGAAUGACAAAGCGGAAUGGAAAAUUAAGAUGAAUUCCUGUGACCACUAUAAACACUAAUGUCGAAACAAACAGUGGGCAAGUCUGUGGAGAUAAAAGUUUUGGACACCAUCUGGAAGGCUAACAAAGGGUUUUCCAUGGAAUCUGCGGCAGGAAUACUGAACAGUGAAACCAUGCUAAUUCCUAAAGCAAAUACCUAAAAAUGAACAAAGCUCUAUGAACUCUCUGGAGCCAGGCUCGGUCUCAUUUUCCAGAGUCACAGAACCUGUUAAAGGAAAACAGACCUAAUCACAUAAUGGUUUAAGAAUUACAACCCGGGGGCACCUGGGUGGCUCAGUGGGUUAAAGCCUCUGUCUUCAGCUCAGGUUGUGAUCCCAGGGUCUUAGGAUCGAGUCCCACCCACGUUGGGCUCUCAGCUCAGCGGGGAGCCUGCUUCCCCCUCUCUCUUUGCCUGCCUCUCUGCCUGCUUGUGAUGUCUGUCUGUCAAAUAAAUAAAUAAAAU